CCUACGGGAGGCAGCAGUGAGGAAUAUUGGUCAAUGGGCGCAAGCCUGAACCAGCCAAGUCGCGUGAGGGAUGACGGUCCGAUGGAGUGUAAACCGCGGUUGUCGGGGAGCAAGGCCCGCCACGUGGGGCGGGAAGGAGAGGACCCGAAGAAAAAGCAGCGGCGCACUCAGUGCCAGCAGCAGCGGUAAUACGGAGGAUGCGAGCGUGAGCCGGAUUUCUUGGGUGUAAGGGGGGCGGAGGCGGAAGGUUAAGUCAGCGGUCAAAUGUCGGGGCUCAACACCGGCCUGCCGUUGAAACUGGUCUUCUUGAGUGAGCGAGAAGUAUGCGGAAUGCGUGGUGUAGCGGU
rnacentral:rRNA from 1 species